CGGCGAUGUCCGAAUGGGGAAACCCAGUGCAAUUCGUUGCACUAUCGUUAACUGAAUACAUAGGUUAACGAGGCGAACCGGGGGAACUGAAACAUCUAAGUACCCCGAGGAAAAGAAAUCAACCGAGAUUCCCCCAGUAGCGGCGAGCGAACGGGGAGCAGCCCAGAGUCUGAAUCAGCUUGUGUGUUAGUGGAACGGUCUGGAAAGUCCGACGGUACAGGGUGAUAGUCCCGUACACCAAAAUGCACAGGUUGUGAACUCGAAGAGUAGGGCGGGACACGUGGUAUCCUGUCUGAAUAUGGGGGGACCAUCCUCCAAGGCUAAAUACUCCUGACUGACCGAUAGUGAACCAGUACCGUGAGGGAAAGGCGAAAAGAACCCCGGCGAGGGGAGUGAAAAAGAACCUGAAACCGUGUACGUACAAGCAGUGGGAGCACCUUCGGGUGUGACUGCGUACCUUUUGUAUAAUGGGUCAGCGACUUAUAUUCUGUAGCAAGGUUAACCGUAUAGGGGAGCCGCAGGGAAACCGAGUCUUAACUGGGCGUUAAGUUGCAGGGUAUAGACCCGAAACCCGGUGAUCUAGCCAUGGGCAGGUUGAAGGUUGGGUAACACUAACUGGAGGACCGAACCGACUAAUGUUGAAAAAUUAGCGGAUGACUUGUGGCUGGGGGUGAAAGGCCAAUCAAACCGGGAGAUAGCUGGUUCUCCCCGAAAGCUAUUUAGGUAGCGCCUCGUGAACUCAUCUUCGGGGGUAGAGCACUGUUUCGGCUAGGGGGUCAUCCCGACUUACCAACCCGAUGCAAACUACGAAUACCGAAGAAUGUUAUCACGGGAGACACACGGCGGGUGCUAACGUCCGUCGUGAAGAGGGAAACAACCCAGACCGCCAGCUAAGGUCCCAAAGUCAUGGUUAAGUGGGAAACGAUGUGGGAAGGCACAGACAGCCAGGAUGUUGGCUUAGAAGCAGCCAUCAUUUAAAGAAAGCGUAAUAGCUCACUGGUCGAGUCGGCCUGCGCGGAAGAUGUAACGGGGCUAAACCAUGCACCGAAGCUGCGGCAGCGACACUAUGUGUUGUUGGGUAGGGGAGCGUUCUGUAAGCCUGCGAAGGUGACCUGUGAGGGUUGCUGGAGGUAUCAGAAGUGCGAAUGCUGACAUAAGUAACGAUAAAGCGGGUGAAAAGCCCGCUCGCCGGAAGACCAAGGGUUCCUGUCCAACGUUAAUCGGGGCAGGGUGAGUCGACCCCUAAGGCGAGGCCGAAAGGCGUAGUCGAUGGGAAACAGGUUAAUAUUCCUGUACUUGGUGUUACUGCGAAGGGGGGACGGAGAAGGCUAUGUUAGCCGGGCGACGGUUGUCCCGGUUUAAGCAUGUAGGCUGGUUAUCCAGGCAAAUCCGGAUAAUCAAGGCUGAGGUGUGAUGACGAGGCACUACGGUGCUGAAGUAACAAAUGCCCUGCUUCCAGGAAAAGCCUCUAAGCAUCAGGUAACAUCAAAUCGUACCCCAAACCGACACAGGUGGUCAGGUAGAGAAUACCAAGGCGCUUGAGAGAACUCGGGUGAAGGAACUAGGCAAAAUGGUGCCGUAACUUCGGGAGAAGGCACGCUGGUGUGUAGGUGAAGUCCCUGCGGAUGGAGCUGAGACCAGUCGAAGAUACCAGCUGGCUGCAACUGUUUAUUAAAAACACAGCACUGUGCAAACACGAAAGUGGACGUAUACGGUGUGACGCCUGCCCGGUGCCGGAAGGUUAAUUGAUGGGGUUAUCCGUAAGGAGAAGCUCUUGAUCGAAGCCCCGGUAAACGGCGGCCGUAACUAUAACGGUCCUAAGGUAGCGAAAUUCCUUGUCGGGUAAGUUCCGACCUGCACGAAUGGCGUAAUGAUGGCCAGGCUGUCUCCACCCGAGACUCAGUGAAAUUGAACUCGCUGUGAAGAUGCAGUGUACCCGCGGCAAGACGGAAAGACCCCGUGAACCUUUACUAUAGCUUGACACUGAACAUUGAGCCUUGAUGUGUAGGAUAGGUGGGAGGCUUUGAAGCGUGGACGCCAGUCUGCGUGGAGCCAACCUUGAAAUACCACCCUUUAAUGUUUGAUGUUCUAACGUUGGCCCCUUACCGGGGUUGCGGACAGUGUCUGGUGGGUAGUUUGACUGGGGCGGUCUCCUCCCAAAGCGUAACGGAGGAGCACGAAGGUUAGCUAAUCCUGGUCGGACAUCAGGAGGUUAGUGCAAUGGCAUAAGCUAGCUUGACUGCGAGCGUGACGGCGCGAGCAGGUGCGAAAGCAGGUCAUAGUGAUCCGGUGGUUCUGAAUGGAAGGGCCAUCGCUCAACGGAUAAAAGGUACUCCGGGGAUAACAGGCUGAUACCGCCCAAGAGUUCAUAUCGACGGCGGUGUUUGGCACCUCGAUGUCGGCUCAUCACAUCCUGGGGCUGAAGUAGGUCCCAAGGGUAUGGCUGUUCGCCAUUUAAAGUGGUACGCGAGCUGGGUUUAGAACGUCGUGAGACAGUUCGGUCCCUAUCUGCCGUGGGCGCUGGAGAAUUGAGGGGGGCUGCUCCUAGUACGAGAGGACCGGAGUGGACGCAUCACUGGUGUUCGGGUUGUCAUGCCAAUGGCACUGCCCGGUAGCUAAAUGCGGAAGAGAUAAGUGCUGAAAGCAUCUAAGCACGAAACUUGCCCCGAGAUGAGUUCU
rnacentral:rRNA from 1 species